GAGAGAUGGAGAUAAGGAAAGGGGACCCAAGAUCAGGUUUAAAGAUAUCAUAAUAUUUAGAUAUUAAAUAGAAGAAGGAGAUGACCGAGAAGGUUAAGAAAUAUGCAGAGAAGAGAGGAGACACACAAAAGAGCACAUGCUGUCUCCAUGACCCAGACUUGAGGCUUUUCAAGAGGAGGUGAGCCUCUAUUGGAGGAAAGCAAGUGAAAGGGAUGGCCCAUGGAGCCUGGCUGCAUGACCUGGACAGAGGUAACCUCUAAGGAAUACUGAGGGAGAAUAAAAUGGACACAGGACACUAGAAACACAUCUUUUAAGACAUUUUUCUGUGCAUUGUAGGAGAGAACUAGAAUGGUCAUUAGAUUAUGUGGUUAUGAGACUUUUGUUCCUAAUAUACAAGCAUCAGGAGCACAUUCUUAAUGAUUGGCUCGAGAAGCCACCAUGAGGAUGCAGGAGAAAGAGGAGACAAGUACAGGAGGAAAGUCCUUGAGAAGUAUAGGCAAGGCUCUCAGCAGAACUUCAGCUAAGGAUGCAGAGCAUAAGCCACACUUUAGCAUCAGAUACAGGCAAAGAAGGUGACGCUCAAUCAAAUUUAGUCAAGGCUUUCCCAGGCAAAGGAGCCAAAGCAACAAAGCCGUAUGAGAGUUCAGGGGCUUACAUGUGAGCAGGCUCAAUGAUGAACAAUGGAACGGCACCUCAGUAACCAGGGAAACAAAAUGAUGCUUUCAAAAUGUUCAGAAUCAUUCGCCAAUAGGCUCGUUAUCAUAUCCAGUUUGCUUCCCAAUGACUCUUAGAAUAUUUAAGCUCACACAAAGCAAGUUUUCAGCUCCAGGUACUAGCUCCCAGUAUUACCGAGUUUAGUUAUAAUGCUUGGUUUCCUAAACGUGAUGUAUUGCAUUGUUGCAUAGAGGCUUCAGGUGGAAAGAAAGAAAAAGGCAAACCAUGAACUAACAUUCAGCGCCUACCUGCUGAUUGCUUUGCCAACCAAAUACAGCACCAUGAGACAGACAGAAUCAAGACUGGGAGUUAUUCAUUCAAUCGGAUGAGACAGACAGAAUCAAGACUGGGAGUUCUUCAUUCAAUCGGAGUUUGCACUUAGGUUAGGAGACAGCUUCAGGCAAUCGGGCAAUAGUAAUGACUCAAAUGGUUAAUACCCUUUUAGAACUAUAGGGUUGUCCAAAAGUCACUGAAUGAAGAAGUAGAUUUCAGAAGACCCACGGGCACUGAUUGGAGUCUGAGAAACUGAAUCUAGGUAGCCUCAAAUGAAUGCUGAAGUGAUUUACGGCUGUACAAUCCAAAAUAAUAUCCUAGCUACACCAGGAGCCUUCAGACUGAGGACGAGGGGGCCCCAGGCACAACAUAAUGCGAUUCUGAAAC